rnacentral:misc_RNA from 1 species
AAUGGAGGCCAAUUUGGAGUGAUAAUAGGUAUUUUGGGAGGUAAUUGAGCCAUGCUAUGCUCUCAAAACCUUAAAAGCACAGGUAGAUAGAUAAAACUGUGUGUGUGUACAUAUAUAUAAAUGUAGAGCAGGAUAAUAUGGGGAAAAAAAUCAAUAUCCAACAACUGAAAACAGACCAAAGAAGGCAAAGGAUAUAACAAUCUAAUAAUGAUUUGGAAAAAUCAUCGGCUCCUUAAAACACUGAGUA